UAGAUGUCUAGCACAUUUAUUUUGCUUCUAACCAUUAACCAUAAAUAAACACAAGCGUGAGAGAGGGAUUCCCGAGCCCCCCCAAAAAGUUAAUUUCACAGGCCUCUCGCGGGGUAUAGAAGUGCCCAGACAACCCCUUCGCUCGCCCCCUUCCUCGCCCUCUUUUCUCCUCGGGCGUCGCCGCUUUCGAAGCUACGUUCGGGCUGGUGCUGUUCUCCCUCUGCGUCGCUGGGUGGGCGGCCUCCACGCCUGCGGGAGAUGCCACUUCCGAGACGCCCUACGCCCACGAGAAGUGCCCUUGCGCCGUCCUUCGUGCGGAAGACGUCGCUCACUCGCUCGCCGACUUCAGGAACAUCUCUGAAGAGGCGACGCUGGCGACGGCGGUCAGCACGGAGCGAGCAGGAAAGCGAGGCCCUUUGAGCAGCCAUACCAAGAGUCCUGAGGAAUGUCACGAGUAACCCAUGCAACAGAGGAAUCAAGAUGCUCUCAGACCAUAGCAUGGACGAGGAGCCACCAGGGGAGCUCUCUGAACACCAGGUGAAGGAGCAACUCGUGGAGGUGCGGCACCUGACUGUCCUUCAAUGGAAUCAUAGAGGACUAAGGUCUCAUCUGGAGAAAAUUUUAGAGGAAGGGUUGCUUAUUCACCAUGUUGUUCAGCUGACAUGCAGUCUUGUAACCUUCUGAACUUACGUCGACUUCGAAACCUCUCAGUGCUAAUGCAGAGUGGCAACAACGUAACCCAUUUUUCGGAAGACUUCAGGGCCUCUACGUAGACCACAGUUAGCCGAAGGAGUAGCCACAUUCAUCGGCCACUCUGCCGAUGCUCAGCUGUGUCUCUUGCUUGCAAUUCUCCGACUCAUCUUCGAGCUGUCUCUUGUAAGGCUCUCUGUGUGUUUUUUUGUAAGGUGUCAUUAGA